UGGCCUUUUUCAAUGGGAAAAAUUAUUAGCACAAACAUAGUUUAGAUGUUACAUGUUACAUAAGACUUGAGCUUGAGCAACUAUCCUGCUAUAGGUAUAUAAAUUUCCUAAUUUUAAUCACAACAGCAGACAAGAACCUUCCUAAAGGGCAAACUCCCUUAUGCUGUGUUGUCCUUUCAUCUAUUUCAAAAUUUAACUUGUGCACAUGGGCACUGAAACAUUUUAUCAAUGCACAAUAAAAUAUUAAACACACACAAUAGUCUAGUUGGGAAUCCAAAUGCUUGACUUUCACACAUCAACAUACACCCAAAUCAUAGAACGGUUGUUCUGUCCGGAAAUGGAAAGAACAUCAACAAGUGACAUGCUCCAUCCACCCUUUGGACUGCUCUUCUCCUCAUGCCUCCCCUUCAAUCACUCACCAUAUUAAUAACACCUAAAUACGAAAACCACUUAUGAAUUAUACUGGCAUGCAAAACAUUGUAUACCGUGAAGCAUAGCAAUGCCACUAAGUAAGAUGGGAAUAGUGAUAUAAUUAGUUCAGGUUGCAGCCAUCGAAAGCAUACCGAUAACACGAAGAUAAACUAACAAUAAAUAUAUCAAUGCAUGUUCAUGACUGAAUUCACUCUAUUUCAGCAAGAAGUAAGAAAAUGUAACCACCUUAAGUAAAAAAUUAGAAUGAGCAAAAGCAUUAAUAUCCAUAAUACACACAUGUACUUUGAAGGUGAUUGUGUCUCAUGUAGCACCAAGGCCCGAACCACUAUGAUACUUACCAAAUUUCUUGAGCAUCUAAAUUUAAAGUAGCAAAGAAGAAAAUAAAAAAUUCUAAGUGAGAACAAUAGUAAUGCUUGACAAACAGUACCGUAUAUGGAAGUUGAUACACAAGAAAAGCUAGAAAACAAUAGAUCAAAUUGAAAAAUAAUGAUGCUAAUAAAAAAUUCAUGGACUUUUAUCAGCACAACCUGUUCCCCUAGCAACCACACGGAGUCAUCAAGCUGCAUUGGUUAAGGUGGGCCACAUGGUCCAAGCUUAGAAUUAUGAACCUGAGGGCAGCCUAUGGCUAGCAGAACAACAACAGUUGAUGCAAGGCCAUCAAUUUUGAUUGUUAAACUGGUUAGUUCAACACAAAAAAUUAGUAAUAUGAUGUUAAUCCAUGACAAAGUGAGGAGAAUAAAAUAGGCAAGGUGAUAACACGAUGCAAGGAUCGGACGACCGAACUGGCACAAUUGACCGAAAUGAGCAAGAUCGAACGGCCAACAAAGAUCCAAAUCAGGGGAGAGCUGUUAGGUAUAAAAUUGCUUUCCCUGGCUCAUAUAAAAUUAGAUACCCAGGUUGUUCACCAGCUCGUCGAAACAAUGGCCUAAAAUUAAAAGCUCUUUCUUAUGAGCCUGGACAAUUGUUUCUUCUCUCAGCCACUAAAAAUGGUUUAGAACAUGAUGUUGACAUGCUGCAACAUUACAUUGUUUUCCCAGUGUGCCAAGAUUGUCUAGCCCAUGCAUGCUAGUUAGCCCGACAAAGUAAAUUUUUGUUUCGGUACCAAACACCUAUCCUUACCCAGCGAAGACCAGUAGUUUGUUUGCUUUGGAAAUAAAUACGCCCUAAAUCAUCAUGCAUAAACUGGUUGAGUUAUGGAUGUGCCGAAUGAAAGGUUUAGCUAAAUACAUUACUAUAACACAGUAGUUCUGAAAUUAUUACAUGGAGUAAGCAUGCUAACCUCUCCAUCCUACAUUCCAGUAUUUCUUCGACAUUCAGACUAAGCUCCUGUCAAUUUCAGGCAGGCAAGAUAGUACUUCUUCUCGUGUUUCAACCUACAAAAAUGAUUGGAUGCACCCUAAGUGCAUACAACAUGAUGUCUGAACACAGUUUUAUUCAAAGCAUAUGAACAAAAUAUUAAUUGGACUAAUUGCUGCAAUCAUCUUCUGAACCUAAUCAAGGGAAACAACAUAGAGCAAAAAUCUUCAAAUAAUCACAUGGCCAAAGAGAAGCUAUCUAUGAAUCAAGCUUUCGGUCAAGAUGCACACCAAUAAAAAGCAUUAGUUUUAUAAGGUACAAACAACUGUACCUUGAAGCACAAUCAACAUGCUGGACCUAGCUCCUAAUUCCAUUUAGGAAUCAUCAUCUUCAUAAAGUAAUAAGUAAACUUGGUCAUCCAUGCACCGACUAUAGCCUGCUUGCUAAUUUCCACCUAUGUCACAAAUAAGACAAUGUCAUGUUCAAACUGAAGGUGAAAGCAGUAUACAUUCAGUUUCUAAUUUAUAUUAGUAAUAAAAAUCUCUAUAAAGAGGCAGACCAACCGCUGGAAAUAAACUGGCAUGGAACUAAAUCAGUGUCCACAAAACCAUAGAUAUGCAUGCUCAUCAAGAAUGUCAUACAUUUUACCAGAAUGGAAGCUUAGUUGGUGCUGGUGCUCUACCUCAAGAACCUCUAGCCCACACAACAGAAAUCCGUCCAUCUUGGCCAUGAAUUCACCUAAACAGGAAACAAAAUAUUUUUUUUCCUCAGACACAGUACACUGAAGAAACAAAAUUAUGCCAGCUGAACCGAUA
rnacentral:lncRNA from 1 species